GAGGGUAUAGCUCAGUGGUAGAGCACAUGCUUAGCAUGUAUAAGGUCCUGGGUUCAAUCCUAGUAUCUCCA
rnacentral:tRNA from 1 species